UACACGCAUGACACACUGCAUAUCAAUAAGCGGAGGAAAAGAAACUAACAAGGAUUCCCUUAGUAACGGUGAGUGAAGCGGGAAGAGCUCAAAUUUGAAAUCUUCAAGGUUUUACCUUGACGAAUUGUAGUUUAAAGAAGUGUUUUCUGUUGGAGUUUUGGUAAAAGUUCUUUGGAAUAGGACAUCAUAGAGGGUGAGAAUCCCGUAUCUGGACCAUUAUUUCUAGCUUUGUGAUACACUUUCAAAGAGUCGGAUUGUUUGGGAAUGCAGUCCAAAAUGGGUGGUAAAUUUCAUCUAAAGCUAAAUAUUGGCGAGAGACCGAUAGCGAACAAGUACCGUGAGGGAAAGAUGAAAAGAACUUUGAAAAGAGAGUUAAACAGUACGUGAAAUUGUCAAAAGGGAAGCGUUUGACACCAGUGUUGUUUUCUCGAAAAUCAAUUAAAAAUGAUGGGAUGUUGUGUUGUAUUGACUUUAAUCAGCUUUCUUCACUUUUUUCAUGAUCUUUUUUAAUGCACUUUUCGUUUAACUAAGUCAACAUCAGUUUCUUUUGUUGUAAAAGAGUCAUUGGAAGGUGGCUUUUCUUUCGGAGAAAGUGUUUAUAGCCUUUGACUUCUGCAAUCGGAGAGAUUGAGGUCUGCAGCGUAGAUCCUUCGGGGUUAGAUACAUUUGUGCUAAGCUAUAGUUCUUUAUAGACAACUUGUUGACUAUAUCUAGUCCUGUAGCUUACUCGCUUAUGCUAUUUUACCUACGCUUAGGAUGUUGAGCGCAUGUCUCUCUCU
rnacentral:rRNA from 1 species